UACGGAGGGUGCAAGCGUUAAUCGGAAUUACUGGGCGUAAAGCGCGCGUAGGCGGCUAAGUCAGUCAGAUGUGAAAGCCCUGGGCUCAACCUGGGAACUGCACCUGAUACUGCUUAGCUAGAGUUUGGUAGAGGGGUGUGGAAUUUCCUGUGUAGCGGUGAAAUGCGUAGAGAUCUGAAGGAAUACCGAUGGCGAAGGCAGCCACCUGGGCCGACACUGACGCUCAUGUACGAAAGCGUGGGUAGCAAACAGG
rnacentral:rRNA from 1 species